rnacentral:lncRNA from 1 species
GACCAUUCCGACAAGGAGUAGGAAAUGGCCCACAAAUAUCCGUAUGUAUCAAUUUUAAGAUGUCCGAAGCUCUCUUAGCACCUAAUCUAGUCUUGUUUGUUUGUUUCCCUCAAUACAAAUUUCCGAAUUUGAGGAAUCAAGAGAAUUAAGAAUUCCAUCUUACACGAGUUUCUGAAUUCUUUGAAUGGAUAUGUGACCCAAACGUUUAUGCCAGAGUGAUAUAGAAUUCUCAUUAGUUAAUUUUCUUUUAGUACCANNN